rnacentral:rRNA from 1 species
UACAGAGGUCCCAAGCGUUGUUCGGAUUCACUGGGCGUAAAGGGUGCGUAGGUGGUCAGGUAAGUCGGAUGUGAAAUCUCCGAGCUCAACUCGGAAACUGCAUUGGAAACUACCUGGCUCAAGGGUUGGAGGGGGGACUGGAAUGCUUGGUGUAGCAGUGAAAUGCGUAGAUAUCAAGAGGAACACCAGUGGCGAAGGCGGCUCUCUGGGGUAUUUCUGACGCUGAGGCACGAAAGCCAGGGGAGCGAACGGG